rnacentral:miRNA from 1 species
UAGCAAGGAUAUUUAGUGCCAG